ACAGAACAGUCACUUCUGAGCUGGGCUGUCAGAAGAUUGUUGGUGACCACAGAGAGGCAUGCAGCGGACUCCAUCCAACUGUCACUAUUCCAUGCCACUCAAGAGCAAGCCACCUCAGUGCACAGUGGUCUCAGCAGCUUCCCCACAGCCUUCCCUCUCACAUGGCCUCUGUCUGUUCUCAGUUCCUCAGGAGGAUGAGAUCUGCACACUUCAUUGCCUGGAUGUGACGCCUUUUUACAAAACAAAGACAACCCCCAUGGCGGCGGCAGCACUUGGCAGAGCACAGACAAAUUUUGUCAACUAUUAAUAUUUUCAAAGCAAUUUAUAACAAAAACCUUCAUACUGACACAACUGAGUACUACAAAUUUCCUAUCAUAAAAUCCGUGCGCAC
rnacentral:lncRNA from 1 species